UGCAAGUCGAACGGUUAAAGCAUCUUCGGAUGUGUAUAAAGUGGCGAACGGCUGAGUAACACGUGGGCAACCUGCCCUUUGCACUGGGAUAGCCUCGGGAAACCGAGGUUAAUACCGGAUACUCCAUAUUUGUCGCAUGGCGAAUAUGGGAAAGCUCCGGCGGCAAAGGAUGGGCCCGCGGCCUGUUAGCUAGUUGGUGGGGUAGUGGCCUACCAAGGCAAUGAUGGGUAGCCGGGUUGAGAGACCGACCGGCCAGAUUGGGACUGAGACACGGCCCAGACUCCUACGGGAGGCAGCAGUGGGGAAUCUUGCACAAUGGGCGAAAGCCUGAUGCAGCGACGCCGCGUGCGGGAUGAAGGCCUUCGGGUUGUAAACCGCUUUCAGCAGGGACGAGGCCGCAAGGUGACGGUACCUGCAGAAGAAGCCCCGGCUAACUACGUGCCAGCAGCCGCGGUAAUACGUAGGGGGCAAGCGUUAUCCGGAUUCAUUGGGCGUAAAGCGCGCGUAGGCGGUCUGUUAGGCCAGGAGUUAAAUCUGGGGGCUCAACCCCUAUCCGCUCCUGAUACCGGCAGGCUUGAGUCUGGUAGGGGAAGAUGGAAUUCCAAGUGUAGCGGUGAAAUGCGCAGAUAUUUGGAAGAACACCGGUGGCGAAGGCGGUCUUCUGGGCCAUGACUGACGCUGAGGCGCGAAAGCUAGGGGAGCGAACAGGAUUAGAUACCCUGGUAGUCCUAGCUGUAAACGAUGGACACUAGGUGUGGGGAGAUUAUACUUUCCGUGCCGCAGCUAACGCAUUAAGUGUCCCGCCUGGGGAGUACGGUCGCAAGACUAAAACUCAAAGGAAUUGACGGGG
rnacentral:rRNA from 1 species